GACGAACGCUGGCGGCGUGCUUAACACAUGCAAGUCGAACGGAAAGGCCCUGCUUUCGUGGGGUGCUCGAGUGGCGAACGGGUGAGAAACACGAGAGUAACCUGCUCUUGACUUUGGGAUAACUUCAGGAAACUGGGGAUAAUACCGGAUAGGAGCUCCUGCUGCAUGGUGGGGGUUGGAAAGUUUCGGCGGUUGGGGAUGGACUCGCGGCUUAUCAGCUUGUUGGUGGGGUAGUGGCUUACCAAGGCAUUGACGGGUAGCCGGCCUGAGAGGGUGACCGGCCACAUUGGGACUGAGAUACGGCCCAGACUCCUACGGGAGGCAGCAGUGGGGAAUAUUGCACAAUGGGCGGAAGCCUGAUGCAGCAACGCCGCGUGCGGGAUGACGGCCUUCGGGUUGUAAACCGCUUUCGCCUGUGACGAAGCGUGAGUGACGGUAAUGGGUAAAGAAGCACCGGCUAACUACGUG
rnacentral:rRNA from 1 species